GGGGAUUCAGCUCAGUGGUAGAGCGCUUGCCUAGCAAGCACAAGGCCCUGGGUUCGAUCCUCAGCUCCA
rnacentral:tRNA from 1 species